rnacentral:rRNA from 1 species
UGGGGAAUUUUGGACAAUGGGGGAAACCCUGAUCCAGCCAUCCCGCGUGUGCGAUGAAGGCCUUCGGGUUGUAAAGCACUUUUGGCAGGAAAGAAACGUCAUGGGUUAAUACCCCGUGAAACUGACGGUACCUGCAGAAUAAGCACCGGCUAACUACGUGCCAGCAGCCGCGGUAAUACGUAGGGUGCAAGCGUUAAUCGGAAUUACUGGGCGUAAAGCGUGCGCAGGCGGUUCGGAAAGAAAGAUGUGAAAUCCCAGAGCUCAACUUUGGAACUGCAUUUUUAACUACCGGGCUAGAGUGUGUCAGAGGGAGGUGGAAUUCCGCGUGUAGCAGUGAAAUGCGUAGAUAUGCGGAGGAACACCGAUGGCGAAGGCAGCCUCCUGGGAUAACACUGACGCUCAUGCACGAAAGCGUGGGGAGCAAACAGC